rnacentral:rRNA from 1 species
GAUGAACGCUGGCGGCGUGCCUAAUACAUGCAAGUCGAGCGAACGGACGAGAAGCUUGCUCCUCUGAUGUUAGCGGCGGACGGGUGAGUAACACGUGGAUAACCUGCCUAUAAGACUGGGAUAACUUCGGGAAACCGGAGCUAAUACCGGAUAAUAUUUUGAACCGCAUGGUUCAAAAGUGAAAGACGGUCUUGCUGUCACUUAUAGAUGGAUCCGCGCUGCAUUAGCUAGUUGGUAAGGUAACGGCUUACCAAGGCAACGAUGCAUAGCCGACCUGAGAGGGUGAUCGGCCACACUGGAACUGAGACACGGUCCAGACUCCUACGGGAGGCAGCAGUAGGGAAUCUUCCGCAAUGGGCGAAAGCCUGACGGAGCAACGCCGCGUGAGUGAUGAAGGUCUUCGGAUCGUAAAACUCUGUUAUUAGGGAAGAACAUAUGUGUAAGUAACUGUGCACAUCUUGACGGUACCUAAUCAGAAAGCCACGGCUAACUACGUG